rnacentral:rRNA from 1 species
UACGGAGGAUGCAAGCGUUAUCCGGAUUCAUUGGGUUUAAAGGGUGCGCAGGCGGGCUUGUAAGUCAGUGGUGAAAUACUGCCGCUUAACGGUAGGAUUGCCAUUGAUACUGCGGGUCUUGAGUUUGGAUGAAGUAGGCGGAAUGUGCAGUGUAGCGGUGAAAUGCAUAGAGAUUGCACAGAACUCCGAUUGCGAAGGCAGCUUACUAAUCCACGACUGACGCUGAGGCACGAAAGCGUGGGGAGCAAACAGG